CCUACGGGUGGCAGCAGUGGGGAAUAUUGCACAAUGGGGGGAACCCUGAUGCAGCAACGCCGCGUGGGUGAAGAAGUACUCCGGUAUGUAAAGCCCUGUCAGCAGGGAAGAAAAUGACGGUACCUGACCAAGAAGCCCCGGCUAACUACGUGCCAGCAGCCGCGGUAAUACGUAGGGGGCAAGCGUUAUCCGGAUUUACUGGGUGUAAAGGGAGCGUAGACGGCAAGGCAAGUCUGGAGUGAAAGCCCGGGGCCCAACCACGGGACUGCUUUGGAAACUGUGUUGCUGGAGUGCAGGAGGGGUAAGCGGAAUUCCUAGUGUAGCGGUGAAAUGCGUAGAUAUUAGGAGGAACACCGGUGGCGAAGGCGGCUUACUGGACUGUAACUGACGUUGAGGCUCGAAGGCGUGGGGAGCAAACAGGAUUAGAUACCCGGGUAGUC
rnacentral:rRNA from 1 species